rnacentral:lncRNA from 1 species
GAUUGCAGUGAUGACCUCAGAAAAAUUCAAGCUCAACAGACCGGAAUGCAGGAUUCUUAACUGAGUUUUGCGUGUCGAUAACCCGCUCACUGAGCAGUCUUUCUUUCAUUCUUUUUUUUUUGAGGGUUUUAUUGAAAUUUCAAUUGUAAGAUUUUGUUAGUCUGUCAUCAAAUGAUUAUAAAUUAAUUUAAUCUUAGGACACCAUUGGACACAACUUAUAGUUGUGGUUGAGAAUACUCUUAUUUAUGAUGAUGAC